CCUCAAGCGCCUAACUCUCCAUGUGCAUUAUAUUACUCCUGGGGGAAUUCUGCGCACAACAUUUUAAAAUUCUGCAAAUUUUAUUUGUCAAAAUAACAAUAUAAUCCUGCCCGUUUCAAUUAUUUUGGUAACUUAUUUCAAAAUACCUGUCAACAAAUAUGUACAAUACAGACAAAAAAAAGAUUCAGGAAAUGUUUUUUGACAAAGAGAUUCCUUACUAGGCAUAUUAAUGCAGAUAUUUGAGUAAUAAUUUACUUAAUCUACAACGUUUACAGAAAUGUGUUUCCUGGACUCCCCAGAAGCAGUGCAAAGGCUUGGAGGUGUCAGGAGGAGCUGAGGGAAAGGGAAGUAAUUGCUGGGAAAGAGCCUGGGAGUGAACCUGGAGGACUGUUGGACGUGGCUUGAUUGUGGGGGCGGCUGACCCUGUGAAAUCCUUGCUGGAAAUCCUCAGUGUCUGAAUUCUGGCUCUCCAUGGACUUUUCUCUAGGAAUUGUGUUGAAGUGCUAGGAGAGGAGAGGCUUCCUGUGUGACCAUGAGCAGCCAUGAAAGCCAAGAGUGCUGACUGAUUUGGGGCGUCAACCUGGAACACCUUGGGCUUGGUUUUCAGAAGUGCUGAGCACCCAUAAGUUCAAGGUGGAGUCAAUGGAAAUAAGGCUCCAGCACAAUAGGAUUUUCAUAGCAUUGUGCCUCCAGUGUGGGAAGCAGGAUCAUCCUUUAAAUGUGGACAUUCCAAACGAGGAUUCUGACCUGUCAAAAGAAAGCCUGGAACUGUAUAAAAACACCUUGAGUCCUGAUCCUUGUCAUCUCAGAUCUGCUUAAUGCUUCAUGCAGGGGAAUCUUAAACCAUAAGGCCGAGAUCUCCAGACCUAAUCUGGAUCACCCUGAAUAUGAACAUUGGACUAUAACCUAUGGAUUAAUUCUAAAAGAACUCUUUGCAACUACAAAACUCACCAUCUCUACUAUGAAUCUAAUCUCAAAACUGUACUCAUGUCUAUAUGUGUAGUGAUCUUUUAACCAAUAAUCUCUCUUUUCUUUUUUAAUAAAUUUUAGUUUAGUUA